GACGCCCUAGUAGCUUAAACUUAAAGCACUG
rnacentral:tRNA from 1 species